CACCGUUUUAACACCGGAACACGACAGCAUGCUAACGGAAGUUUGAAUCCUUCAUGGCGGCGCUCAUCAGGCAAUCAGCACACAGAGAGACGUGCAGCGCUGAGGCUUCAACGAGCAGGGUUUUUCCUGUUUGGCGGCAUUCAUUGUUUGCAUGCCUGUGGGUGGCUCUCAUAAACCAGGCCGACCGGCUCAUUAACCUUCUCCGAUGACAGCGUGAGCAGGAUCGCCCUACUAAGAGCUGUGUACCACGCCCUGCGCUGCACCUGUUCCUCCA
ensembl:lncRNA